GCAGGGAGUGUCAGCCACGUCUAGCGCACAGUCCCAGGCCCCAGGGCGAAGGCGGCCAGGGGAAAUGGGGCUCAGGGAUUGCUAAGCAAACGCAUCACUGGUGGUCUCCAGCGCCUGCGGAGGCAGUGCCUGAUGGCUGAGAAGAAUCGCAGAGGACUAGAAAAGGUUUGAGUCUGAAAUUAUCUGGCACAGAGGAUUAAAGCUCAGAAAUAAGUGAUUGCGAAACAGUUCAACUUCCCUGUUAAUGACAACAACAACAGCAACACGCUUAUUAAUUCCUAGCUGGAGCAUCAAGCUUAUGAAGAUUUCCAAGACUUUAUUGUUGACCCUUGUUGAAGAGAACUCUACUUGGCUUCUUUCCUGGCUUUCCUAAAUUGUUCACAUACAAGAUAAACUACCGUCAUUCAGACUUACAGAAGUGAGAAGACAAGCUGAACCAAAUGUAAAAUGGUAGCAAUUUACAGAUGUCAGAACUAACAUGUGGAUGAACUUAGAGAUGGAGAAGAAAGCUGGGCUUUUCCAAAGAGUGGAUCUAUCUGAACUGGAUAGCACUAUUGAACUUUGUUGCAUAUUUUGUGGUAGCUCUAAAACUCCUCUGCUUGCUUACAUACAACCAGACACCAGUGCCUUCUGAAGCUAAUCCAGGCCAUUUUUAUAACCUAAUGCAGUAGCACUUUGCAAUUAGAUGAAGAAGAUCGGUGGGAUUUCUUUCUGUGGUGAUUAAAAUGUGUCAGGGGAAGAAAUCAAGACAAUACUCCAAGUGAAAAAUAUAAAGUCAGUUAUUUCUUUAAUAUUUUGUGUUAUAGUAAUCAUUUUUAUAUUUUGAGCAUACUUUUUCUUGUCUACUUAAAUACUCAAAAUUAAUUAUAAAAUGUAAAUGUAAGCACAAUGAGAUACCAUCUCAUCCCAGUUAAAAUGGCUUUUAUCAAAAAGAUAGGGAAUAAUGAAUACUGGUGGAAGGAUGUGGAGAAUGGGGAACCCUCGUACACUGUCAAUGAGAAUGUAAAUUAGUACAGCCACUAUGGAAAACUGUAUGGAAGUGCCUCCGAAAACAAAGUAGAACUACCAUGUGAUCCAGCAAUUACACUAGUGGGUAUAUAUUCAAAAGAAAGGAAAUCAACAUAUUAAAGAGAUAGCUGCAUUCUCAUGUUUAUUGAAGUCCUGUUGAAAUAGCCAAAAUAUGGAAUCAACCUAAGUGCCCAUCAGUGGAUGAAUGGUUAAAGAAAAUGUGAUUGAUAUGCAAUGGAAUAUUAUUCAGCCAUAAAAAAGAAUGAAAUCCUGGCGGGGCACAGUGGCUCAUGCAAGUAAUCCCAGCACUGACCUCAUGAAGACAGAGAGUAGAUUGGUGGUUACCAGAGGUUGAGAAGGGGAGAGGAGAGGAGGGAUGAAGAGAGGUUGAUUGAUGGAUAGAAAUAUACAGUUUGAUAAUGAUAAAUCAGUAGGGUGACUAUAGUUUAUAAUAACCUAUUGUAUGGUUCAAAAUAGCUAAAAGAGAAUAAUUGAAAUAACGUAAGACAAAAAUUUAAGAUGAUAGAUAUCCCAAUUACACUGAUUUGAUCUUUACAAAUUAUAUGAAUGUAUUAAAUUAUUACAUGUAUCCCCAAAAUAUGUACAAGUAUUUUGUAUCAAUAAAAAAUAAAAUUUAAGAUAAAGUAAAUGUAAUGAUUAGCUUAUAUUUCCUAGAUCGGAAAUAAAUAUUUACUUAAGUAUGUUUAUGAUGAAGAGUUUUUUUAUAUUACUAUAAAAAUAGACACCUUACAUAAACAUAUUACAGUUGGUGUUUAGAUGGCUCUUUUUUUUCUGGCCUUGAAUUUCUGGAAAGUAGGUAUGGCCUGCUAUGUCAGGACUAGUUCUUGGAAUUCUUUGUUGUUUUUCAGUCAGCCUUAUUUUCUUGGGUCAUGUUUUGAACAAUAUUUAUCAAAUGUCUGUUUACCAGACGUUGUUCCAGAUGCUUGAACAAAAUGAAAUGUCUGCUGUCAUAGAGUUUCCAGUCUAUGUAAGACAGUAAACAAAUGUAUAAUAUAAUGCUAGAUAGUGAUAAGUGCUAAAAAGAAGAAGAAAAUAGGAAAGGGGAAAGAGAGUUUCUGUGUGAUUGUAUGUGAAAGUGUCCAUGCAUGCCGCUCACCCAGUAUUUUAAAUAGAGUGAUCAAGGAAGCCUGUCUGAAGAAGUAACAUUUGAACAGAGAUCUGAAAUAGUCAGUCACGGGAACAUUUAGGGAGAUGUUCCAGGCAGGCAUUGUGGACAAUUUAUGUCACAAAAAAGUCACCCAAGUGUUAAGUCAAGUAACAUCCUGUAUGAUAACUAUAUAUACAUUUUUUUGUUUUUUCUUAAGUGAAAAACAAACUUAUUAGGUUUUCUGGGUACUCAUUAGGUUUUCAGAAAAGUUUUUCAUUUAAUAUCAUUAUUGCUGUAUAUUUCCCUUAAUGAUUAUUCUAUUAUUUAAUACAUAAGAUUUAUGGCUCUACAGAUACAGCUUCACAAUCCCUUAUCUGUAAUUCCAAAAUACAAAAAAAUUUCUUAAUUCAUUUAGUGGCAAAAUCUGAACUGACAUGAAUCUAUUUAAAAUUAUCCUUUAUGGGCCAGGUGCAGUGGCUUACGCCUAUAAUCCCAGCACUUUGGGAGGCCAAGGCAGGAGGAUCACUUGAGGCCAGGAGUUUGAGACCAGCCUGGCCAACAUGGUGAAAUCCCAUUUCUCCUAAAAAUACAAAAAUUAGCUGGGUGUGGUGGCACAUGCUUGUGGUCCCACCUACUUGGGAGGCUGAGGCACGAGAAUCACUUGAACCUGGGAGGUGGAGGUUGCCGAGAUCUUGCCACUGCACUCCAGCCUGGGUGACAGAGCGAAACUCUUGUCUCAAAAAAAAAAAAAGUAUUUAUUCCAUUUAGUGUGACUACUGAUACAUUUCAUUGUAGAAACAUUAGUGUGUUUGAUGAAGGGUUGCUACACAUUAAGUAAAAUAUAGAUAAUACAAUGUAUUGUACCCUAAAAUAUAAAAAAAAUUAAAUCCAGAAACACGUGUUCCCAAGAAUUUUGGAUAAGGGAUUGUAGAUCUGUGUCAGAUUUCUUCUUGAUUUUCUGAUUAAAUGUUACCAUUGUUGUUAAUCUUUAGAUACAUUGUUUUUAGAAGUAUAAUGCUAUAUAGUGCCCUUAUUAUAUACUGGCAUUGCAUAAGCAC
rnacentral:lncRNA from 1 species